rnacentral:rRNA from 1 species
CCUACGGGAGGCAGCAGUGGGGAAUAUUGCACAAUGGGGGAAACCCUGAUGCAGCGAUGCCGCGUGGAGGAAGAAGGUCUUCGGAUUGUAAACCCCUUUUAUCAGGGACGAUAAUGACGGUACCGGAAGAAAAAGCUCCGGGUAACUACGUGCCAGCAGCCGCGGUAAUACGUAGGGAGCGAGCGUUAGCCGGAAUUACUGGGUGUAAAGGGAGCGUAGGCGGGACGGCAAGUCAGAUGUGAAAACUGCGGGCUCAACUUUCAGACUGCAUUUGAAACUGCUGGUCUUGAGUGAAGUAGAGGUAGGCGGAAUUCCUAGUGUAGCGGUGAAAUGCGUAGAUAUUAGGAGGAACACCGGUGGCGAAGGCGGCUGACUGGGCUUUUACUGACGCUGAGGCUCGAAAGCGUGGGGAGCAAACAGGAUUAGAUACCCUAGUAGUC